rnacentral:lncRNA from 1 species
UUCUUCGUUUGCUAUUAACCACCACUUUUCUUCACUUGAACUCCCCUAGCCUUGAGCUAGUGGUCACGACGCUAAAUAAGCAAAUCCGGUGAAGUUUACGACGCAAGGAACGCAAAGUUGUAACUAGAAGUGGAUGUGCGCGCGGCCUUACUCAUGCUUGUGGAUGUCGCUUAUGUUUAUCUUUAAAUAAAGUUGUAAACUUUUUAAGACAAUGUUUUAUGCCAUCUCGCGAUGUAAACGCUAACUUAUGUUUUCAAAUUAUGAAAUGUUUGAACCUUUCAUGA